rnacentral:lncRNA from 1 species
CUCCGACAAUGAGCUUCUCCAUUCAUCCACCGAUCCGCUCCAAAGACUCUCUAGGCUUCACUAUCAGCCGACCUUCUACAGUGAUCAACUAUUCUCCGAAUCCCUCCCAGACUCCUUCCUGCCGCGGACGACCCUAUUCCGAACUUCUUCUGAACUUCGUCAAUAUCCAAGCUUCUCCGACGAUGCAAUUUCUAUAGUGACCAGACUCUAUCCAAGUUUCUACG